AAAUUGCGUCGAUAUAACGACGCAUUCUCUUUUAUGUCACACAUGCGCAGUAGCCAGCACUAUCUUUUAAGGCCAGGAGGCUUUAUUGUUAGCCUAUUUAUAACAAAAACAAAACGUUAUUCACGUUGCUUAACGUAACGACUCAUUAUAAAUAUGCUGUUAAGUCCCCACAAACUAAUGAGCUCUUUUGGGCUGUUAAAGUCAAGUUUUGAUUUUAGCAAGUCUUUUUCUGUUUGAUUGAAUUAAAACGAACCCUGUAAACAUUGACAUAAAUUUGUCCAGAGCGUGAUUUGCGCACAACAACCUCUAGGCCUACAACGUUUUGAAUAGUUUCAAAUAUUUCAUUCAUAAAUCCCCAGACCCCCUCCCUCUGCUACUACACCAAUGAUGUCAUUUUAUUGCGACCACUCUCUGGAUUGUGGAUUUUACGGACUGCAUUCCCAUGUACUGGGUUUAGCUGGACCGUAUUGGACUGGAGGUGACAGGAUAUGUUGUACCUGCUUCGGACUGGUUCUGUCAUUAACCUACUGAGCUGGUGCUUCUGUCCCAGGUAAAAUGUGUUUGAACUUACAUUUGCAUCUAUACAUGAAGUAGGCAGCCUAGAGCAGGAGGCGGGCGUCAGAUCAGAGGGUUGCAGGCAUCUCCAUCGCAUCGCUCCUAGGCAUCUGAAAGUGUACCGUUGCGCACAGAUCAUGCUGGUAACGAGUUAUUCAAAGGGUCUACCAAUCAUGGCAAAAACAGAAAUCCAGCUCCUCAGCCCAGGCAGUGCCAACAACCCAGCUGAUCCAGGAGCUGCAGCGAGGGGUAGUGAUGACACUCCGGGCACCCCGACUGCCUCUGCCUCCGUCAGAUAAUCCAGCCCUCCCCCUCCUACUUCCAGAGACUAAUUUGCAGAUUCUAACGGGUAUGUGCUAAGGAGAUGAUGAGUGAACACGCUGCCAGUUUGGUUGCAGUGUGUCACCGAAUUCCGUAGAUUCAUCAUCACUAUGUGGGGUGGAAGCUGCACAGACUACAACAAGGCUUCUGGGACCCCACUCCCCUCAAGCAAGACAUUUACCACCUGCUUCACCUAUGAAGGACUGAUUAUUGGCAGUGAUGUAUACCACAACGCAUACAAGCUGUUCAGCCUGCUGCCCUCCGGGUAGAGGUACAGGAGUAUCUGCUUCCGCAACUCCAGACUCGCCAA